GAUGAACGCUGGCGGCGUGCCUAAUACAUGCAAGUCGAGCGAACAGACGAGGAGCUUGCUCCUCUGACGUUAGCGGCGGACGGGUGAGUAACACGCGGAUAACCUACCUAUAAGACUGGGAUAACUUCGGGAAACCGGAGCUAAUACCGGAUAAUAUAUUGAACCGCAUGGUUCAAUAGUGAAAGACGGUUUUGCUGUCACUUAUAGAUAGAUCCGCGCCGCAUUAGCUAGUUGGUAAGGUAACGGCUUACCAAGGCAACGAUGCGUAGCCGACCUGAGAGGGUGAUCGGCCACACUGGAACUGAGACACGGUCCAGACUCCUACGGGAGGCAGCAGUAGGGAAUCUUCCGCAAUGGGCGAAAGCCUGACGGAGCAACGCCGCGUGAGUGAUGAAGGUCUUCGGAUCGUAAAACUCUGUUAUUAGGGAAGAACAAAUGUGUAAGUAACUAUGCACGUCUUGACGGUACCUAAUCAGAAAGCCACGGCUAACUACGUG
rnacentral:rRNA from 1 species